AAUGGCCACAGAUUUCUUUUACAUCUUCUUAAAAGAUGUUGCAAUAACUCUGUCCAUACCACCAAAGAAAAAACUGAGAAAUUAUGAUCAUUCAACUAGGAAUUAUCCUUCCAGAAGAUGACAAUAGUCUUCUUCAGUGUUCUUGUUGGAGUAGUCAAGGAUGAACAGCACUUCCCAGAUGUCUUACCUUACUGUCAAGAACAGCCUGGUCCUUUAAGGGUGAGUCAUUUCCUUGUAGAUAAGCAUAGACCUCAGGAGUCUAGUGUUGGUGAUAUAUAAAU
rnacentral:lncRNA from 1 species